UAAAAACUGUUUAUUAUCAAGAUCAGACUGGAUAAUAUCACCACGAGUACCACAAAGGUCAGUUCAUGUAUUACUGAAUAAACCACUAACAACCACAUGACUGUAUUAAGAAUCCAUCUAUAUAUACUCCUACUCUGAAUGUCGUAGUGCGUUCACAUUUAUACAGAACAUUUUACAAUAAUCGUUUAUCUCCUGGCGCUGAAAGUGCUACAGGUUAAUGCAGAAAAAUAUUUCUGGUGCUUAUAUGGGACAAACAGGUUUGUGCUCAUGGAUUCAGCCUGAAAACACGGUGAGUGUGUUCCUGGUAGGAUCAUCAGGUUUCUAGCAUGGAAUAAAACAUUUUAUAGCACUGUAUUAAUUCUUUAGUAUUCACAGGACUGCUAAAACAUCAUUACAAAUGAUAAUCAUAUUAAAGAGCUUUUCCAGGAGUUCAAGAUUGAUGUUCUAUCCUCAGAAUAGGUUCCCAAUAUCUGAUUAGCGGGGGACUCUGACAGCCAGCAUUCCCACCGAAGAGGUAGUGUGCUCCGCUGAGCACUAUGGCCUCCUCACAGCUUACCAAGCACAGUGCUGUACCUUGUAUAUUGGCUGUGCUUUGUAUUGCAGCCUAGGCCCAGUUGCUUGAAUGUGCCUGAGCUGCAAAUAGACCAGGACCAGGUGACCAAUGAACGUGAUGCCACUGGCCGAGGAAGAGCCGUAGCCUCUUCAAACAUGGGCAUGGGUGCCAGGACUCAAUGAUCGGACACUGACCUAUCCUGAGGAUAGGCCAUCAAUACUGAACUUAAGAAAAAGCCCAUUAAAAGGGGUGGUUCAGGUUCAGAGCUGAACCCGGACAUAUCCCCUUCCCCCAUUCAGCCCCUCUGACACGAGCAUCGAAGCAUUUCGUGCUCCCAUGCUUUCCCUUACUUUUUGUUUUAUUUUAACACUGCUAGGCAGAGGCUUCUGCCUAGCAGUGUUCCCGGUGACGUCACCAGCACUGAUGGGCGGGCUUUAGCGUGGCCAUAGCCGUUUUACAGGCUAGGGCAGUGCUAAAGCCAGCCCAUUAGUGUCGGUGACGUCACCGGGCUCACUGCUAGACGGAAGUCUCCACCUAGCUUACCCAUGGAGAGCCCGGUACGUCACUGGAUCUCCACAAAAAGCCCUUUCCCUACUCGAUUCAGCGCAGGGCAAGGGAGAGCAUCGGAGCAUGAAAUGCCAGAGGAGCCGAGUGGGGGAAGAAGGGGAUAUGUUUGGGUUCAGCCUCUUCAACUAAGUUGAACUGUAGAUACAGGACUAUAUAUAUAUAAAAUAGUAUUUCACAAUAAAAGUCUCUAUAGAUCUAUAUGGAUAAAAAAGGAUGUUGAAAUGGUGUGCUUUUAUUACUCUAGAAGUAAUUUUUUGAAAAUAUCCAGAUCACGGCACUAUAUAACAUAACACCACUGUUCACAGUAUAGUCAUAAAAAGGUACAUAUAAAUGGUGGCAGGUUUGGGAGGGAACUCCCGUUCAUUGCUUUACUGCAUGUUGCAGUAUCUCAUGUACUGUGCAAAUGAGAUCAGUUUUGGCACACCAAUUAAUGGCUCCACUCCUCAGUGAUUACUGGCAGACCUUAUUUAACCUCCAGAUCCUGACUAGCAUUGAGCACUAUCAUGUAGAGCAUGACUGAACCGCUGGUCACCAGGAUCCAUACUCUGCAUGAAAUGGCAAUGACUACUAAAUACUGCAAGCCGCGUGUACCCAUGACUGCCAGUGAUCACUUCUGUUGGGUAAAUAAUCAAUUUGGUUGAAUUUGUCCUUUAGGAUCAACUACAGAAUAAUGUGUAUGUCCACCUUUAAAGGGGUUUUUCAGGAGUUUACUAUUGAUCACUUAUUCUCUGAAUAAGUUAUCAGUAUCUAAUUAGUGAGGGUUUGACACCCGGGACUAGGCUUGAGCGAAUAGACCUUCGUAUCAUGGACCUGAAGUCGAUUUGUUCAAAUACUUCAAUUAAAAUGCUGUCUCA